AGGCGACGACGGGUAGCCGGCCUGAGAGGGCGACCGGCCACGCUGGGACUGAGACACGGCCCAGACUCCUACGGGAGGCAGCAGUGGGGAAUAUUGGGCAAUGGAGGAAACUCUGACCCAGCGACGCCGCGUGCGGGAUGAAGGCCUUCGGGUUGUAAACCGCUUUCAGCAGGGAAGAAGCGAAAGUGACGGUACCUGCAGAAGAAGCACCGGCUAACUAUGUGCCAGCAGCCGCGGUAAUACAUAGGGUGCAAGCGUUGUCCGGAAUUAUUGGGCGUAAAGAGCUCGUAGGUGGUUCGUCACGUCGGAUGUGAAACUCUGGGGCUUAACCCCAGACCUGCAUUCGAUACGGGCGAGCUUGAGUAUGGUAGGGGAGACNUGGAAUUCCU
rnacentral:rRNA from 1 species